GACGAACGCUGGCGGCGUGCCUAAUACAUGCAAGUCGAACGCAGUGGGGACGGGUGAGUAACACGUGGGUAACCUCCCAUCAGAGGGGAUAACACUUGGAAACAGGUGCUAAACCGAUACUGAUGGAUGGACCCGCGGGGCAUUAGCUAGUUGGUGAGGUAACGGCUAACCAAGGCCACGAUGCAUAGCUGGCCUGAGAGGGUGAUCGGCCACACUGGGACUGAGACACGGCCCAGACUCCGACGUGAGGCAGCAGUGGGGAAUAUUGGGCAAUGGACGCAAGUCUGAUGGAGCAAUGCCGCGUGAGUGAAGAAGGUUUUCGGAUCGUAAAACUCUGUUAUUAGAGAAGCGGUAUCUAACCAGAAAGCCACGGCUAACUACGUGCCAGCAGCCGCGGUAAUUC
rnacentral:rRNA from 1 species